UUCGGAGCAUGAUUUCUGGUAGAAAUAUAAAAUUGAAAAAUCUAUAAUAAUUACAAUUUUAUUAAAAGUUUGUUUUUUGUUUUUCCAAUAAUCAUGAAUAUUGCUUAGAAUUUCUAAAAAUAAUCCCUUGAUUCGUCAACUAGAUCUAAAAUUCUACAGAAACGCUUUUUUGUCGUUUUUUAAUUGAAAUAAGAUGUCCGGCAGAUAAUAUUGUACAAAAAACAUAAAAAAAAAAAACUCCUAUACACUAUUAUGUCUCUAUCGAUUCGAAACACACAUC